CCUACGGGUGGCAGCAGUAGGGAAUAUUGCUCAAUGGGGGAAACCCUGAAGCAGCAACGCCGCGUGGAGGAUGAAGGUUUUCGGAUUGUAAACUCCUUUUGUUAGAGAAGAUAAUGACGGUAUCUAACGAAUAAGCACCGGCUAACUCCGUGCCAGCAGCCGCGGUAAUACGGAGGGUGCAAGCGUUACUCGGAAUCACUGGGCGUAAAGAGCGCGUAGGCGGGAUGGCAAGUCAGAUGUGAAAUCCUAGGGCUUAACCAUAGAACUGCAUUUGAAACUGUGAUUCUAGAGUAUGGGAGAGGGAGGUAGAAUGCUGGGGGUAGGGGUGAAAUCCGUAGAGAUCAAGAGGAAUACACAUUGCGAAGGCGACCUCCUAGAACAAAACUGACGCGGAGGCGCGAAAGCGUGGGGAGCAAACAGGAUUAGAUACCCGAGUAGUC
rnacentral:rRNA from 1 species